AGAGCUCUGUAGAACAGCUUGCAUGACCCAAUCCCUGUAAAGAUCAAGAAUUGCAUCGAGCUCAGGGCAAUGAUAGGUUUUAGGAGAGGCUAAGAAAGCGUUUAUGACUUGAAGAGGCUACAAAGAACAAAGGUUUUGACCUUGGUAACGGUGAGUUAUUUUAUUAAUGUUUUUAUGCCAACAACUUUAGCUUUUGUACACUAGCAUUGUUUUCUUAAGGCAAAACAAUUGAAUUAGGGAGUGGUUUAUCCGCAUUAGAAUGACGAUGAUAAAAACCAGGAGAUAAAACUAGGAGAUAAAUAUCUUCUAAGAUGGGAGUUUUUCUUCUCUCAAAACCAGGAGUUAAAAACCUUUAUUUUAACACCCCUGUCCAAAUCUGAGAGGAUACAAGAAUCUGAAUCUGACUCUGAUGAAUGAACAUGAGUAGAAUUCACCUGACCCUCUUCUAGACACCAUUAAUUUCGAAAUAAAGAAGUUAGUAUUUCAUUUGGUAAAUAUAUAUUGGCAAAGUGUAGUAUUUCAAUAGACAAUUUACAGAUGUAGCCCCAUCACAUGCCAGUGGUGAAGGGUCGAAUUGAUGAACCUGUCAACUUGUAUAAAAUUAGUUAAGUAUAUAAGUAAAAAAAGUUUAUUGUAGAGUAAAAUUGUUAAUCUGAAUGUUUAUGCCACUUUGAUUUGAUUUUAACGUAGGGGAAUCUUCUGAUUUUGCGGGGAGUAAACCACUAAAGGUUCAUUGUUUGAUUUUCCAUUAUAUGUGGCACAGAAAUUUCUGUUUGAAACGCUGUAUUGUUUAUGGUGCGAGCGGUGGCCGCUCGCUUGUGCUGCAGCAUCGCUACUACAGAGAGUCCAUGCCUUUCGGUAGCAAAGCCAAGGCGUACAUCGACUCCAAGUCCCUAGCGUAUCUCACGGCCAAGCAGGCGCUUGCUUACUUCGCUGUGCUGCUCACUGAUCUCAAGAGGAACCUAUCAGCAGAGGGCAGCCCCGUUGUGCUCUUUGGGGACUCAUACGGUGGAAUGCUAGCUGCUUGGAUGAGACUCAAAAUCCCCAUAUUGCUAUUGGGGCUCUCGCAUCAUCAGCUCUGAUCCUGCAGUUUGAGGACAUUGUUCCUUCUACUAUAUUCUAUGAUCUCGUAUCUGAUAAUUUUAGGAGGGAAAGUUUAAGCUGUUUUCUUACAAUAAAAGACUCCUGGAAAGAAUUAGAUGACCAAGCAAACGAGCAAGAUGGUCUUCUGAAACUAAGUAAAAUGUUCCACCUUUGCCA